UACAGAGGUCCCGAGCGUUGUUCGGAUUCACUGGGCGUAAAGGGUGCGUAGGUGGUGAGGAAAGUCGGAUGUGAAAUCUCCAAGCUCAACUUGGAAAUGGCAUUAGAAACUACCUUGCUGGAGGUUUGGAGGGGGGACUGGAAUACUUGGUGUAGCAGUGAAAUGCGUAGAUAUCAAGUGGAACACCAGUGGCGAAGGCGAGUCCCUGGACAACACUUGACACUGAGGCACGAAAGCUAGGGGAGCAAACAGGA
rnacentral:rRNA from 1 species